rnacentral:miRNA from 1 species
GAGCUUGGUCUGUAGCGGUU